rnacentral:rRNA from 1 species
GGGCUCCUUCGGGAGCACCGGCGGACUGCUCAGUAACACGUGGACAACCUACCCUCGGGUGGGGGAUAACCUCGGGAAACUGAGGCUAAUACCCCAUAGGCCUCGGAUACUGGAAGGUUCCGAGACCGAAAGCUCCGGCGCCCGAGGAUGGGUCUGCGGCCUAUCAGGUAGUUGGUGGUGUAAAGGACCACCAAGCCUACGACGGGUACGGGCCCUGAGAGGGGGAGCCCGGAGAUGGACUCUGAGACACGAGUCCAGGCCCUACGGGGCGCAGCAGGCGCGAAACCUUCGCAAUGCGCGAAAGCGCGACGAGGGGAGCCCGAGUGCCCUUCCUUUCGGGAGGGCUUUUCUGGAGCCUAAAAAGCUCCAGGAAUAAGGGCUGGGCAAGACGGGUGCCAGCCGCCGCGG